GUGCCAGCAGCCGCGGUAAUACAGAGGGUGCGAGCGUUAAUCGGAAUUACUGGGCGUAAAGCGCGCGUAGGCGGCUUUGCAAGCCGGAUGUGAAAUCCCCGGGCUUAACCUGGGAACUGCAUUCGGGACUGCAUUGCUAGAGUAUGGGAGAGGGAAGUGGAAUUUCAGGUGUAGCGGUGAAAUGCGUAGAUAUCUGAAGGAACAUCAGUGGCGAAAGCGACUUCCUGGACCAAUACUGACGCUCAUGUGCGAAAGCGUGGGGAGCAAACAGGAUUAGAUACCCUGGUAGUCC
rnacentral:rRNA from 1 species